rnacentral:lncRNA from 1 species
UUCCACCAUGACCAUGAGGCUUCCGCAGCCAUGUGAAACUGAUUUUGAAUAUAUCAUCCAGCUCCUUCCUGGCCUAUAAAGUUUCUGGAAAAAGAAAAUCCAUGGAUAUCUUACACGAGAGACAUGGAAUCAUGAUUGGAGCGAUGUCCACCAGAUGUCAAAAUAGAGUUCUGGAUUCUUGUUUUGUAUCAACUUUAAUGAGAUAUAAUUUCCAUAUAAUAAAAUGUACAUAUUUGUGUAUAAUUUGAUAAGUUCUCAAAAGCUUAUACACCCAUGUAAACACCUCCACAUCAUGAUACAGAACGUUUCAAUUACCCUAACAAGCUCUUCUCUGCCCUUUUGAUACAAAUCCUUCAUCUCAGCCCCAAGCAAUCACUAUUCUCUCACUUUACAUUAGUUCUCUUAUUGUGCAGUUUUAUAUAAAUGGAAUUAUACAAUAUGAACUUAUUUUGUAUCUAUCUUCUUUUGCUAAUCUAAACACUUUUCAGAUUCAUCCAUGUUGGUGCAUGGAUGAAUGCAUGCUAAGUCCUAUUCCAUUAUAUAGAUGUAUCACAUUCAUAUAAUUAUACUCCAUUAUAUAGAUUGCUAAAUCCUAUUCCAUUAUAUAGAUAUAUCACAAUUGUUUUGUCCAUCAUCUAUUGAUGGAUAUUUGUCUUAAUUUUAGCUUUAGAUUAAUUUGGAUAAAGUUGGGGUAAGCAUAAAUACAUAGGCCUUUGUGUUGAUAUAUGUUUUUCAAGCUCUUAUAUAAAUCCCUAGGAGUAUACGUUCAACUUUCUAAAAAAAGCCAUUUUUUCCCCAAAGUAGUUUUGCCAUUUUACAUUUCCACCAGAAAUUUACGGUUGUUGCAGUUGUUCUACAUUGUUUCCAACACUUGAAAUUGUCAGUUUCUUUAAUGUUAGUGGGUCUCUAAUGGUAUCCCAUUUUGCUUAUAAUUUCUAGUUCCUUGAUGACUAAUGACGUUGAACAUCUUUUCACAUGCUGAUUGGCUAUGCAUAUAAGUUCUUUUAUGUAGGGUCUGUUUGUAUCAGUUAACCAUUUUAAAAAACAAUUAGGUUGAUUGUCUCCCUAUUAUUGAAUUUUUAGAAUUAUUUAUAUAAUAUGGAAAUACAACUUUUGUCUAAUAUAUAUGUUAUGAAUAUUUUCUCCAGGUUUGUGGUUUGCCUUUUCAUUUUCUUAUCUAUGUCUUUCAAAAAGCAGAGGUUUCUAAUUUUUAUAAAGCCUACUUUGUAAAUUAUUUUCUUUGGUGGUUUGUGCUUUUUGUGUGUGUACUACCUACAAAAUUUUUGUAUACCCAAAAGUUGCAUAUUUUUUCUAGUAGCUUUUAGUUUAGCUUUACUGUUUUGGUAUAUGAUCUGUUUAAUGUUCAUAUAUGGUUUGAGGGAGGGAUUAUGGUUCAUUCUUUUCUAUAUACAUAACCAGUUAUUUCUUUUCUAUAUAUAAGUAACCAGUUGUUUCAACACCAUUUUUGAAAAGAUUAUCUUUUGGCUGGGCAUGGAGGCUCAUGCCU